rnacentral:rRNA from 1 species
AGCGAACGCUGGCGGUAUGCUUAACACAUGCAAGUCGAGCGCGAAAGUGACUUCGGUCAUGAGUAGAGCGGCGGACGGGUGAGUAACACGUGGGUGACCUGCCCUCAGCUCUGGGAUAAGCCUGGGAAACCGGGUCUAAUACUGGAUAUGACUCCAUGACGCAUGUUGGUGGGGUGGAAAGCCUUGUGCGGCUGAGGAUGGGCCCGCGGCCUAUCAGCUUGUUGGUGGGGUGAUGGCCUACCAAGGCGACGACGGGUAGCCGGCCUGAGAGGCGACCGGCCACACUGGGACUGAGACACGGCCCAGACUCCUACGGGAGGCAGCAGUGGGGAAUCUUGGGCAAUGGGCGCAAGCCUGACCCAGCAAUACCGCGUGAGGGAUGAAGGCCUCGGUCGUAACC